GUAGUUUCUUGGUCUUUUGGCUAAGAUCAGGUGUGUAUCCUUACCAAUUAAAUCUCUGAUGUGUCCUCCAUCUGAGGACAACAUAACAAACAGACUUGGGAUCUGGAAGAUGGGAUUGAAGCUUUCUUCAUAUAUUCCAUGAGCUAGGGUUACAACAGCUCUGUUGAUGAUGCUCCCCCUUC